rnacentral:rRNA from 1 species
CACGUAGGGUGCGAGCGUUGUCCGGAAUUAUUGGGCGUAAAGAGCUCGUAGGCGGUGUGUCGCGUCGGCCGUGAAAACCUGCAGCUUAACUGUGGGCUUGCGGUCGAUACGGGCAUCACUGGAGUUCGGCAGGGGAGACUGGAAUUCCUGGUGUAGCGGUGAAAUGCGCAGAUAUCAGGAGGAACACCGGUGGCGAAGGCGGGUCUCUGGGCCGAUACUGACGCUGGAGGUGCGAAAGCGUGGGGAGCAAACAGG